rnacentral:sRNA from 1 species
GUCAACUUUAGAUUAGACCUCAGAUCAGGCAGGAUUACCCGCUGAACUUAAGCAUAUCAAUAAGCGGAGGAAAAGAAACUAACAAGGAUUCCCCUAGUAACGGCGAGUGAAGCGGGAAGAGCUCAAAUUUGUAAUCUGGCACUUUCAGUGUCCGAGUUGUAAUCUCGAGAAGUAUUUUCCGCGCCGGACCGCAUACAAGUCUGUUGGAAUACAGCGUCAUAGUGGUGAGAGCCCCGUAACUGAUGCGGAUGCCCGGUGCUUUGUGAUAUACUUUCGAAGAGUCGAGUUGUUUGGGAAUGCAGCUCAAAUUGGGUGGUAAAUUCCAUCUAAAGCUAAAUAUUGGAGCAAGACCGAUAGCGAACAAGUACCGUGAGGGAAAGAUGAAAAGCACUUUGGAAAGAGAGUUAACAGUACGUGAAAUUGUUGGAAGGGAAACGCUUGAAGUCAGACUUGCUAUUCGGAGUUCAGCCGCAAGGUGUAUUCUUCGAUUUGCAGGCCAGCAUCAGUUUUUGGGGAUGGAAAAUCGCGGUUUGAAGGUAGCAGUUUCGGCUGUGUUAUAGCUUUCCGCUGGAUUCAUCCUUGGGGACUGAGGAACGCAGUACGCUUUUUGCAAGGCCCUCGGGCUUUUCGUAC